GCAUCAUAGCUCAGCCACAAAGAUAACUCUCUACCACAAGUUUCACAUCCCUCUGUCAGUGCACAGAGGCACCAGGACCUCGAACCAGCUCAGUGCUGUCCCAAACUCGGGACUACGGCAUUCCAUGGGACGUGGCAGCUCCGGAGACGUAUGGAAACUGUCAUGGGCAGCAAUGAAGGCCCUUGCCAGUAGACCUUUCCACGUCUAAUGUAAUAUUACCCCAGCAUCCAUCCCUGAGGAAUGAAGUUUCCCUGCAAGCGUUUUUCGAGAGACUUAUGAUCAACUAAAUUUUCUUUGCUGAGCAGCAAUUCCUGGAAAAUCCUGCAACGUAUUCAAAGACUUUCCUACUGCUUUUGGAGAAUUAGCUCUGGGCAAAACGAUAUAGUCUAUUGAAGCCAUAUCUGACCCAGAAAGUAUUAACUGAAGAAUGUGCAGGACAGCUGCUUAUCGGAAAGAAAAGACAUGCAGUGCAGGAGAAUGACAUGUAGAGCUACUCGAGUUAGUUCUGAAUGACUGUCAGCUCUC